rnacentral:lncRNA from 1 species
ACUGUUGUAGGUGCUGUGGGGCAAGUGAGAUUAAGACCUUGCCCUCUAAGUAAUAUUAAAUAGAUGAUAAUGUGAUAGCAAGUGACAGCUGGAGUGAGAGACUGUGCUUGAGUUAGGGUAAUCAAGAAAGGUCUCAUAGAAGAAGUGGUUAGGUAAGACUGGGUGUAGUCAUGUGAAGAUGUAGAGAAGAACUUUCCAAGCAGAAGAGACACAAAAUGCAAAAGCUAUGAGAUGGGCAAGAGCAUAUGUGUUAAUAAGACAGAAGGAAAGCCUGUGUGGAUGAGCAAUGGGAAAAGAGAAGAGAAAAGAAAAGAAAGAUGAAGUCUGAAGUCUAAGGAACAGGAACAAGUCUGAAUCUUGUACAGCCUUGUAGCCCAUGCAGGAGUCUAAAAACUCAAACGUAUCUAAAAGCCAUGACACAGAAGGCCUGGAGACUGCAUGGAAUGAUGAGGACUGCAGUGAACUCUGAAGUGCCUACCCAUGUGAAACGAACAAGUGCUAUUCGGAAGAAGCAGGUUGUGUUAAUCCAGCAGUUGAAAUUGACAUGUGAGAGUUCUUCUAAGUCCCAGAUGCUAGCUGCCAACUGCCUUUUUGUUCUUGUUUCCUUGGAAACGGAGAUUGGUUUCAUGAAAACAAGGUAAGUACAACUUUUACAGCAGAGAAGUGGAACGCUCCUUUGUCAGUUUCAGCUUGCUGGCUGAGACCUGUAAGUACAGCCUUCCAGAACAGACUGAAGUUGGAAGCCAGUUGAGGCACAUCAGAGUUUAUGGCAAAACAGCAGUACAUAUGUUCUUCCUAUUUAAAUUUAAUGUGGGAAAAUGAUCCAAUAAAAGAUUAAAGUGAUCAAAAUUAACACAACAAAACUUUAUCAAGUCAAAAACACUUGGAGCCUAAAGUGAAAAACAUGAUAUAGCACAUUUAAUAAUGAGAUGCUUUUAAGUCUUCAAUAAUCUCAAAUAUACUCUUACUGAGCAAUUAUCUGGGUCAGUUGUUCUCAGAUAUGACAUACUUCUCAGUGGCAAGAAUGGCUCACCCUGCAUGACUCUGGGGAGACAUAAGGAAAAAAUAGAAGUGAAAUGAGACAUUCUCCCCCAGCAAUGUUUUGCAAAAGUUCUUCAGGUGAUUCUGAUUGGUCUCAAUUCCUCUUCUUUUAAAAAAAAUCACUGACCUGAUCUAAUCAGCUAAUUUUAGGGAAAAGGACACCAAGGCACGGAAAGAAAGAUAAAGUUAGUCAUAGAAAACUUGAAGUCCAGCUAAUGGUGAGUCAGGCAGAGAAUCUAGCUCUGUUUCUGCUUCAAACAUUUUCCUUUUUAUACAAUGGUACAGACGGUUUCCCUUGUAAUUAUUUCAAAAUUCACUUGGUCAUGUAAUUUUUCUUUAGUAUCAUCAACUGAAUGUAAAGAAGUGUAACCAUGGUACCUAUAAUACCAUAUAUACCAUAUGUAUCAUAAGGUAAUGAUACAUAUAAUUAUGUAUCAUAAGGUAAUGAUACAUAUAAUUAUGUAUCAUAAGAUACAAGGAUUUCAACAGUUAUUCUGAAUUUCAACAGCCACCUUUUUUUUUAACACCAUAGUUAAUUUGUCCUGCUAUAUACAUAAUGAGCUGGAAAAUAUAGCAAAAUUAGGAGAGGGCAUACCUUAUUUUUUUAAGUUUUAACUUAAUCAGUGGUGGUAAUUUUACUUAACUUCAGUUUCAUCAACAGAAGUUAUUUAGGAAAAAAAUUCACCUUCUAAGAGUUGAACCAUAUUGUGUGAAGAUUCUUUGUAUCCCUGAAGUGAAUUACUGGCCAAAACAAAGGCUGUAAAAGCCCAUGGCUACAUCUGUUACCUGUUUAGGUGUCUUUAAAACAUAUUUACAUUUAAAAAAUUGAAAUUCCCUUUCCUCUCUCGGUCGUCACUUGGUAAAUUGUCAGUAUGGUCUGAUCUUUUAAGAAAAACUGUCUCUUUAAAAUCGUGGUAAAACACAGAACUUAAAAAGCUAAUUUCUAUUUCAGUGAAUCAAAGAACAGCGAUUAAACACAAGGUUCCUUCAAUGAUGUUCUAUCACAGCCUUCAUGUUUCCCAUCACACUACAUAUGGUCCAAUUGUUUACAGAUUACAAAAAAAAUCCCUGCUCAGAUGUUAAAACAAGAUGUUUUCUUCACUUUCAAAUGGCAGGCUGACUGCCAAUUUUUACAAUUAGUUAUUCUGUGCAAAGAAAAAAAAAAGAAGUUUAAUUAUCACAAUUUCUCAUGUUUGGACAUUACUCUGUGAUGGGCAAUCAACCUGAGAACUGACAGAAAUGAACUCUGGUUCAUGACAUUGGUGGAAGGCUCUUGGGAAGACAGCUUUUUGUAAGAGAGAAAAUAGCAAAAUAGAAAGGGGAAAGAAUCUUCGCCAGAAAUAGGUAUCGAAACAUCAAGGCAAACCAGCCACCUGCCAGUGAUGCUGUUUCCCUGUGGCACCGUCUGGCAGGCAGAAUUUCACAGUGUUAAACAAUAGUGCUGUGUACACCAUGAGUGCACCUAUCAAUGGGUCACUGACUCUCUAAAAAGACUUGCUGAUGGAGGUAGAGUGAUUACAGGAGAGCAACAAACUGAUGGUAGAAAGCCUCCUGUUCAGAUGCCGGAUCCCUGGUAUUGCAUGCGCUCAAAAUUGGGAUCCUCAUUUUUUAAAGGAAUUAUUUGUAUCUGCAUUAAAUUAUGAUUGAUAGAAUUGUUAACAGAAAGUUGAAGAAAAUAGAUUAAUGAACUAUAUACGUAGAAUUCCAUGCUACACACACACACACACACACACACACACACACACAUCAGUAUCCACAUCCCCUCAAGCCUCAAACAUACAAGCCCCCAAGCUGUGCAUAUAAUAGUCGAUUUAAAAACUGCUAUUGGAUAAAUAGUACAUCCAGAAUAAUAACCAGUGACCACAAGAUAGAGGAUCAUUGCUGGUGGAGUUAAAUCAUUUUACUUCAUUUUGAUUGCCUUUUAAUAAGAGUUAUAUAUUAAGAAUCAGAGUUUUAAGAAUUAUUUGGGACAGUGAUAAUAAAUAUUUAUUUCAGGAUGAGUCGGGCUAAUGCAGUGCCCAGCAGAGCUUUUUUUUUUUUUCAUUCUGUCUCUUUUUGUAGGUGGAAGUAGCUGGAUGCCAGUUUUCUGAGAUUUGCCCAAACAUGGAUGACUUGCAUGUUACGAAAGGAUUUUGCCGUGUCAAAUGUUUUCAUUUCGUUUAUUAGUUAAGACAUAUAAUUCAAAACUCUUUGGCCACCUCUAGGAGUAUGUAUUUCAUUAAGAUUAUGUAAAAACUACUAAUAGUUUCACAAUUGAAUACAUAAGUAUGUGCCUAUUUGGGGAGGAAGGGGCAUUCAAAUGACAAUUAACAGUAACAGAGUAACAGAAACUGAAAUCUCCGGCCUACCUCUAGGUCCGUUCCCAAGAAUAACAUUGUUAGUCUCACCCCAAUUCUAUUUAGAAUUUAGUGCUAUUCAUCUGUAUCCUGAUAUAAUCAUUGUUAAAACAAUUAAUUUUGCUCUCAUUACGAAAAAAUAAAGAAUUUACCUAAAACCUAUCUCUUUUCCUCUUGUACAUCGAAGGUUUGUUAUAAUUUUCCAUUCUGCUAAUGAUUCUCAUUUUAAAGCAUUCAAAUUGAUGUUAAUUGCAUAAGGAAUACAGUAAUAUUUCCUCCUGAUAAAAAUCUAAAAUGUUACAAAUAAGGCUGUUACCCCUUUGAUUCUCAUUUUGAUCUACACAAAUAAUUGAAUAUUUGUAAGGCUGUGAUACAAUAAUCACAAAUAAGUGAUACAAUAAUCACUUUGGCCUCCCAAAGUGCUGGGAUUACAGGCAUGAGCCACUGCGUCUGGCCAACAUUUACUUUUAACGUGUUACUGAAACUACUAUUCAGGUUGAGUAUGUACAUAAUGGAAGCUGACUCAAAAUUUAACUGCUCCUAUAAGAAAAAAAACUAUGCAUUUUCAUAUUAUUGUCCAUCCAUUCAUUUAUUCAUUCAUUAAAUUGUGUAUUUAUUAAUGCAGAGCCAGAUAUUAUGAAUACUCAGAUGAUUAAGAACCAUAUAUUACUCUCAAGAAUACACUGUGAAGUGAAAAGAUCAAUGGUCAGUCCCAGACAUCGAUUUCCAAGCAAAUAUUAAGUCAUUAGAUCAAUAGUAGCCAAUAAUAGGACCAAGCCUCUUUCCCUUUGGAUUCCUAUCCAGCUGUUGCCUCUGUGAGCAAUGCAGCUUCCUAAUUUCUUUGGUAUACAAGCUUUUCUACUGUUUUCUUUACAUUUCUAAGGCCUCUGGCCACCACUUUUAACAUCUAGUUUAUUAAUUGUCACUACUUAAGUUAAUCUUUGUUCUAAGAAACAUAUUUUCUCAAAAAGAUCUAGAAAGAGAUAAGUUUCAUUAAUGGAGACUUUUCAUAUUAAAAAGUUGCUGGAAACCGUUUUCUCAUGCUUUUAAAAAAUAAUUAUUUUAAGAAUAAGGUGGUAUUCCAAUAAAGGUCAUAAUUAACAUAAACUUAAUAAAAUUUGACCUAGGGAGGGUUUACUUAAUGUAAGCUUCAUUAGAAAUCUCUUUUAUUCUAAAAUAUUAAACCUAAUCAACCCAAACAAAAUUACUCAGCAUGCUGAAUAUGAUACUGAAUGUAGUUCUGUACAGUGUUUUCUUUAAAUUUGAAAGGUCAAUCCAGACUAUCAACCCAUGACCAGCAAUUACCCAUUACAGAAUCGUCAAUAAUUUUAACUUUGAAAAUAGUAGACAGAAAAUGGGAGUUCAUAAUUAUUUGCUGAAUGAGUGAAUGGGAGCUGGAACAGGACUCAGGCAACCUAGUGUAAUUACAACUAGUUUGUAUUCCCUGGCCCUAGUUACCUCAUCUGCAGAGUGAGAUGCGUGGAUACUGUUCGAUUGUAACAUAUUUUAUAUGUAUUAGGUUGGUGCAAAAGUAAUUGUAAUUUUUGGCCUUACUUUCAUUGGCAAAAACUACAAUUACUUUUGCACCAAUCUAAAUACUUUCUAUAUACUGGUGAAGACAGAAAUUCAAUGAUUCAAAAAUACAAUAGGAAUGUUUUUCCCUUCCAAGUACUUUCAGUUUAGAAAAAUGGCCAAAAUUUCUGUCUGUGAUAGUUCUAAUAUUGAAAAAGUAAAGGUAAUAUAAACCAUAAUAAACAGCAUAAGUAUAUUUUAUGUGAUUAUUUUGAUCAUUUAUUCCCCAAUACUAUAUGACUAUUUCCUGUGUGACAUGCACCCCACCAAGUGCUUAGUAUGUAAUAUAAAAAUAUAGACAUACCUCAUUUUAUUGCACUUUAUUUUAUUGUACUUUGUAUUAUGUUUUUUACAAAUUGAAGGUUUAUAGAAAUUCUGCAUCCAGCAAGUCUAUCAGUGCUCUUUUUCUAAUAGCAUGUCCUCACUUUCUGUCUCUGUGUCACAUUUUGGUAAUUCCCACAGUACUUCAAACUUUUUUAUUAUUAAUAUAUCUGUUACUGUUAUCUGUCAUCAGUGAUCUUGCAUGUUAUUUUUGUAAUUGUAUUGUAAUUGUACUGGGGCACCUGAACUGUGCCCACAGGACAAAUAAGAUGGCAAACUUAAUCAAUAAAUGUUCUGUGUAUUCUGACUGCUCCACCAACGGGUCAUUCCCAUUUCUCUCCAUCUCCUUAGAUCUCCCUAUUACCUGAGACACAAUAUUAUGGAAAUUGGGUUAAUUAAUAACCCUACAGUAACCUCUAAACAUUCAAAUGGAAGGAAGAAUCUCAUCUCUCUCACUUUAAAGCAAAAGCUAUGAAUGAUUAAGCUUAGUGAGGAGGGCAUAUCAAAAGCCAAGAUAGGCCGAAAGCUAGGUCCCUUGUGCCAAACAGCCAAUUCGUGAAUGCAAAGGAAAAGUUAUUGAAGAAAACUAAAAGUGCUCCUCCAGCAAACACACAAUGAUAAGAAAGUGAGAAACUCCUAUUGUUGAUGUGGAGAAAGGUUGAAUGGUCUAGAUAGAAGGUCAAACAAGCCAGAUUUCCUUAAUCCAAAGCCUAAUCCAGAAUAAGACUCUAACUCUCUUCAAUUCUAUGAAUGCUGAAAGAAAGAGAUGAGGAAGCUGAUGAAGAAAAAUUUGAAGCCAGCAGAGGUUGGUUCAUGAGGCUUAAAGAAAGAAGCCAUCUCCAAAACACGAAAGUGCAAAGUGAAGAAGCAAGUGCUGAUACAGAAAUUGCAGCAACCUAUCCAGAAGAUCCAGCUAAGACCUUUGAUGAGUGUAGCUACAUUAAACAAUAUAUUUUCUAUGUAGACAAAACAGCCUUCAAUUAGAAGAUAAUGCCAUCAAGAACUUUCACAGAAAAGAGAGGUCAAUGACUGGCCUCAAAGCUUCAAAGGACAGGCUGACUCUCUAAUAGGUGAAAGGGAGUUGCCUCGUCUCAUGAGACUUUGGACUGUGGACUUUUGAGUUAAUGCUGAAAUGAGUUAAGACUUGGGGGACUGUUGAGAAGGGAUGAUUGUAUUUUGCAAUAUGAGAAGGACAUGAGAUGUGGGAGGGGCCAGGGCUGAAAUGAUAUGGUUUGGAUUUGCGUCCCUGCCCAAAUCUCAUGUAGAAUUGUAAUCCCCAGUGUUGGAGAAGGGGCCUGGUGGGAGGUGAUUGGAUCAUGGGGGAGGAUUGCCCCCUUGCUGUUCUUGUGAUAUUGAGUGAGUUCUCAGGAGAUCUGGCUGAUUAAAAGUGUGUAGCACCUCCCCCUGUGCUGUCUUCCUCCCACUCCAGCCAUGUAAGACGUGCUUGCUUUUCCCUCACCCUCAGCCAUGAUUCUAAGUUUCCUGAGGCCUCCCCAGCCAUGCUUCAUGUACAGCCUGUGGAACCAUGCACCAAUUAAACCUCUUGUCU